UGAAAAUGUAAGGGGAGCUAAGGGAACUUGGCUGAGAGGAUACUAGUACGUAUCGACCCGUUUAACCUGAUCUGGGUAAUGCCAGCGUAGGAAUGAACAUUUACUUUGAA
rnacentral:ncRNA from 1 species